rnacentral:rRNA from 1 species
UACGUAGGGUGCGAGCGUUGUCCGGAAUUAUUGGGCGUAAGGGGCUCGUAGGCGGUUUGUCACGUCGGGAGUGAAAACUCGGGGCUCAACCCCGAGCCUGCUUCCGAUACGGGCAGACUAGAGGUAUGCAGGGGAGAACGGAAUUCCUGGUGUAGCGGUGAAAUGCGCAGAUAUCAGGAGGAACACCGGUGGCGAAGGCGGUUCUCUGGGCAUUACCUGACGCUGAGGAGCGAAAGUGUGGGGAGCGAACAGG